UCUCAUAACCCGCACUCCCCCGCAGUCUCGCAACCUGCACUCCCGCAGUCUCUACUCUCUAACUCUCUAUCUGAGUAUUUGUCUCUCUCACUCUCAAAGUCUCGAUCUCGUUCCAAAAUCUAAACUCUCAGCCCCCUGUAGUGAGUGCAGUCUGCACCGGCCGGAGGACAUAUCAAGUUUUUCAUUGGAUUGUGUCUGAAUUUGGACAUAGUUAGAUUUUUCUUUAGUUUGAUUGCUUGUGUCUGCAUUUUGAUCUGUUUAUUUUGCAUUGGAUUGUGAACUUUGAUUGAUACUUUGCCAAUAUGUGCUGAAUUGUGUAUGUUUCCAAGUGUUUUGGGACAUGAACUGAAUUGAUUGUAUGUACUGACUGUAAUUUGCAGGUACUGUGUUAGGGGAAUAGUAGUUUAAUGACUUUCUGUUUGUUUACGAAUGGUAGAGACUUGCAGGGGAAUAAGUUAACUGGACAAAUCCCAGAUGAGAUUGGCAACUGUGCUUCUCUGAUAUAUCUAGACUUGUCUGACAACAAUAUGUCUGGAGACAUACCAUUCUCAUUUUCAAGGCUUAAGAAGGUUGAAGUUUAGAAUUUGAAGAACAAUCAGUUGACUGGUCCUAUUCCAACAACUCUUACCCAAAUUCCAAACCUUAAAUAUCUUGAUCUUGCUCGGAACCAGCUCACUGGUGAGAUACCAAGGCUAAUAUAUUGGAAUGAAGUUUUGCAAUACCUUGGACUGCGAGGCAACUCCUUGAGUGGAGCAUUGUCCCCUGAUAUGUGUCAAUUAACUGGUCUUUGGUACUUUCAUGUUAGAGGGAAUAACGGCUUUCAGCCCCUACAUCUACCAACAACCGGAAGAAAAGGCAGAAAAAAAAUUAAAUGCGGAGAAUCCGAAGCAUUUGGGAAGGUAUGAACUGAAGAUGUUAUAGAUGAUUAACAUUGUAAUUUGCUAUGCUUUCUUGACUAUUUGAUGAGUUUGAUACCAUGGUUUGCUAUUUUGUAAUCUGGUGAGUCUCCUUAG